CGGACGGGUGAGUAACGCGUGGGUAACCUGCCUUAUACUGGGGGGUAACAGCCAGAAAUGACUGCUAAUACCGCAUAAGCGCACAGAACCGCAUGGUUCCGUGUGAAAAACUCCGGUGGUAUAAGAUGGACCCGCGUUGGAUUAGCUAGUUGGCAGGGCAGCGGCCUACCAAGGCGACGAUCCAUAGCCGGCCUGAGAGGGUGAACGGCCACAUUGGGACUGAGACACGGCCCAG
rnacentral:rRNA from 1 species